rnacentral:rRNA from 1 species
CAGGGUUCCACCUCUUCCCAUUCCGAACAGAGAAGUUAAGCCUGAUCACGCCGAUGGUACUGCGUAACAGUGGGAGAGUAGGUAGUCGCCGUUUU